UGCAACCAUCGCUACAGCGGUACUGAAAUCCAUACGGAACAGAAGCCUUAUGGUAUUUAGCAUAGGAUGAAAACCACCAUGGCUAAGCGGUGCUAAUCCUCACUACUGUCACAAUACAUAGAAAAUUCAUAGCCUACAAGAGAAAUAGAUACUCACUGUAACAAAAUACUACAACAUACAUCAAUAUUGAAACUACACGGAAAUAGAAAUGUUAAAUUACCUCGACCUCCCAAGGAUCUAAACCUCGAAGUUCAUACACACUCCUCUGUGGAAAUUGAUGUGACCUAUGGUGAUCACCGCCUUGUUCACCAAUAAUCCAAUCUAUUUUCGUGAAAUUAUCCCCAAUCCUGGCAAACACAAAUAAAAAUAGAUACAACAUUGAUGCAUUAAGAGUAAAAUUUAAAAUAUCUAAGGAAAAAUAAUGCAAGCAACACACACCUUUCACAGAAUUCAUCUAUUUCUGCUAUAUCUUCAUUAAGGUACCAUUUACAAGUGGACCCACCAGACAUAGUUUCCUCACCUGCAUGAAAUGAGAACCAAACCUGUUGUAGCAAACAUCCAAAACAACCAAUAAAAGAAGACAAUACCAAUUUGAAAACUAACCUCGGUACGACAUGACCAAUUUACCAACAAAUACCACAACAACAGCGUAUUCCUGACCAAGAAGAUGAACCGCUUUAGCAUCAAACUCAUUUGCACAAUUUCCCCAUAAAACAAGCUUCAUCUCCAAACCACUGCAAACAUACAAUAAAAACAAAUCACCAAUGGUACACACAAAUAUAAAUAACCAUGUAUAAAAACCAAUAGAAUUUAACUCCAACGAACAAGCAACAUACCUCAAAUCCUUGAGACCAAUAACUCUUAUAGGUGUAUCAAUUGAAUUACUCCCUACGCGUAUAUGAGUAACAUCAGACACACAAACUAUCAUUGCUAUAACAUUUGAAAGUACACAUAAUCAUUGUAAGAGGGAAAUAAAAUCUAAAAGAAUAGUAAAUAACUCAAAAUAACCUAACAAUCAAUAUCACAUCACUAACCUAUAAAUAUGCCUGACUUCCUACCCACGAAGAAAGAUCAGAAAGUGGCGAUAGGUGAAACACAAAUCAAGAAAAUGAUUCAACGAUAGAUUCAACAUGAUCCAUCUUCAUCCAUGGGGUGAGUUUGAUCAUAUAUUUCACACAAAAAGGCUUAUAGGAAGGCUUCAUAUUGACCACAACGAACUUACUAAACGAAUACACACCACCUUCCGCGACGGCACUCUUAACCUUAUCAACAUUACG
rnacentral:lncRNA from 1 species